rnacentral:rRNA from 1 species
GUGGGGAAUCUUAGACAAUGGGGGAAACCCUGAUCUAGCCAUGCCGCGUGAGCGAUGAAGGCCUUAGGGUUGUAAAGCUCUUUCAGAUGGGAAGAUAAUGACGGUACCAUCAGAAGAAGCCCCGGCUAACUCCGUGCCAGCAGCCGCGGUAAUACGGAGGGGGCUAGCGUUGUUCGGAAUUACUGGGCGUAAAGCGCACGUAGGCGGACCAGAAAGUCAGAGGUGAAAUCCCAGGGCUCAACCUUGGAACUGCCUUUGAAACUCCUGGUCUUGAGGUCGAGAGAGGUGAGUGGAAUUCCGAGUGUAGAGGUGAAAGUCGUAGAUAUUCGGAGGAACACCAGUGGCGAAGGCGGCUCACUGGCUCGAUACUGACGCUGAGGUGCGAAAGCGUGGGGAGCAAACAGGAUUAGAUACCCGGGUAGUCC